AAUCAUCGUUGCAUCUUCUGCCUUUUUCUAUUGCUUUUCACUCUUUUCCUCUCCGGUUAUUCUUUCGCUCUUUUUGGUUCUCGGCUUACGCCGUCGUUUGCUCCCUCUCGCUGUCUUCUCUGUCGAUGUGGUUUUGCAACUUCAUCAUUUUCCGGUUUUGUUGUUCUUCAAUUGAGGCUUUAUCUUUGCUGUUCUUCGAUUAUCUGUUAGAAUUGUUAAUUUCUGCUUCUAUUUGGUUGGGUUCGAAAUAUUUUUCUGCUCUUUUAAUCUGUCCUUUUCAAGAAAGUGUUGCAUGUUUCUAGCGGCAAGGUUUGCUUAUCCAAAAUACCUACUCAUCCUUGAAGCUUCAAUUUCCAUUUAAUUUUUCCCUGUUGAGACCUGGACUCUCGAAUGGAGAGGAUGAAAAGCAACUGCAGGAAAGCAGCGAUGGAGACCCGGCAGCAGCAUAGUCAAGUCGAUCUGGGGAUGAAUUAGUGAAGGAAUGUAUAACGAAAGGGACUGAGUUGGUUUAAGCUAUUGCGAAUAGUCUUUUCAACUCACAUUCAACUGAAGACAUAGACGGUCCCAUUGUGCAGUUGUUUGCUUCAUGAAACUAAACUGCCAAGAUAGAAGCAUAAGUGGAAUGGUAGUUUCAGGUGGACCGUAUUUGAUUGAGAAUAAAUGCCGUGCAAUAUCGAUUUUGGUAUGAAUGUUGGGGAUGAGGUGCUGUUUCAGAUUUUGUGUAUCUCAUUUUGGAAGUGAUUCAUAGGUGCUCUGUAAAGGUUUACACGAAUGAGCAUUGUACUAAUAUGUGACUUGAAGCCUCUUACAAACGAUAUGAAGAUCAUAGUUGGAAUAUGCCGAAUUUGGAGAACAGAAAUGUUUUGACGUCAGAACCAGUUCAAUACUUACAAUGUGUAUCGGUUGAUAAACUGGGUUCAUUUGGUGAAUCUGAAAAAUGUCAAAUGGUGUGGUACUUGGGUCGUUAAAACUGUUAUGAAGAGACUCAUAUGCAACCCUAAUAAUAUCUUCUUUGCUUCCUGUGCUAGCUCUCUAUGUCUCCAUCUCCAAAUAAUUCUUUGAAAGUUACAGGGCAUCCAGUAGCUCAGGUUGGCGAUCAGAGUAGCACAACACUACCACGCAAAAUUGUCUUUGGGGGGGUCUCAGAGAAGCAGAUUACACUGCAGUAGCAGUGCAGGACCUGGUGGGCCCGGAUUUGCUGGUUGAAAAUGACGUGGUCCUGAUCGUUGGCCACUUCCGCGACAGUUCCGAACGAUGGAUUCGGCUCCCAAGCUCCGACGAUUCUGUCUGUGGCAAAGAGAAUUUAGGAAGAGUGGAAGAUCCUGGAGAAGGAUUUGCCAG